CUCAUCCGUCGUGUCCUGAGAAUGAGAUACGCGGCUCCUAUCGGGAUCGUCGACAUGUCGGGCGGUCUUGCUGGAUUAGUUUUACCUUUGACGAGAUAUCUUGUGCAUCGGGAUUCCGGUGAUGCUUUGGGUAAUCUCAGAGUUGAGGUUUUCCACUAGGGAAUCCGACGAGAUCGCGAGCUUCGUGAUUGAGGAUUUCUAUGCGGCUUGUGAUAAUUU
rnacentral:lncRNA from 1 species